GAUGAACGCUGGCGGCGUGCCUAACACAUGCAAGUCGUACGGACUCUUUAAUUCUGAUUUCCUUUAGUGGAAUUGGAAGCUGACAUACUGCUUUUCAAAACUUAUCGUAGACCUUUUAGGUCGAGUACUAAGUUGAGAAAAGCAUUGUAUGUCAGCUAUCAAAGAGUUAGUGGCGGACGGGUGAGUAACACGUUAGUACCUGCCCCGAAGUGGGGGAUAACUGCCCGAAAGGGUGGCAAUACCGCAUGUGGUCACUUGUGACCAAAGCAGCAAUGCGCUUCGGGAGGGGCUUGCGUCUGAUUAGCUAGUUGGUAAGGUAAUGGCUUACC
rnacentral:rRNA from 1 species